UAAGAGGUCCCGCCUGCCCUGUGACUAUAUGUUUAACGGCCGCGGUAUUCUAACCGUGCGAAGGUAGCGCAAUCACUUGUCUUUUAAAUGAGGACCUGUAUGAAUGGCAUGACGAGGGCUUGACUGUCUCCUCUCUCAAGUCAAUGAAAUUGAUCUCCCCGUGCAGAAGCGGGGAUACAACCAUAAGACGAGAAGACCCUAUGGAGCUUUAGACACUAAGGUGGGCUAUGUUAAUCACCCCCACAUAAGGGGUAGAACCUAUUAGACCCCCGCCCGAAUGUCUUCGGUUGGGACGACCACGGAGCAACACAGAGCCUCUGUGCGGAAUGGGGGUAGAACCCCUACAAUCAAGAGCUGCAGCUCUAACUAGCAGAAUUUUUGUCCAAUUAGAUCCGGCAAUGCCGAUUAACGAACCAAGUUACCCUAGGGAUAACAGCGCAAUCCCCUUUUAGAGCCCGUAUCGACAAGGGGGUUUACGACCUCGAUGUUGGAUCAGGACAUCCUAAUGGUGUAACCGCUUUUAAGGGUUCGUUUGUUCAACG
rnacentral:rRNA from 1 species